GAGAAAACCCGAAAAAGCCUGGAGCCCCGCAUAAUGUCCGGAGAUAACUUUGAUGGACGGACAGGAAGCUUGUGCGUCCGCCGUGCAGUUUAUUAUGAUCCUGAAACUGGCAAGGAGGACCCCUCAAAGAAUGGAGUCUGCAGUAACUUCCUAUGCAAUGCAAAACCUGGGGACAAGAUUCAGCUGACAGGUAACUUCCUGAUGGAUGUCGUCUGUGUGUUUACUUGCCUUACUUCUAUGAGAGCCUCUAACCACAAUGGUAUUUCUUUUGGUUAAUGUACUCCCUGAAAUUCACCUGGUAGAGCAUCCAUUUGUCAAUUCUUAUAUUCUUUAUAAGGAUAUUAAAAUACACAUUUAGCUAGAGAUGAAAAUUAAGACAUAGCAGGAACAACCCUGCUUCCAGUGCAUUAAGAAACAUGAUGUCCUUUUCAGUGUUAAAGGCUUGCACUUUGCAACAUUCUGAUAUAUGCCAUUAAAACACUAGCCCACAGCAAAUGUCACAAUGUAAAAGCGACCAAGAAGCAAAGAUCCUCUGUUAAUAUGACUAUGUCCCUGCACUUUAUAUCUCUGUCUUGUUUUGUCCCAUCUUUAGUUAGACUCGCAUGGUAUCUUUAAAGACUUCUGAUUACCCAUAUGCGACAACUAGAGCAUCUUUUUCCCUUUCAGAAAAAAUGCUUUCUUUUCUAAGUAGCCCUCAGAUAUGCCAUUACUUGUAAAUCUUGCUAGUAUAAAUUAUAAUUGUUCUUUCAUAUUAGUUCAUGGAAGACUGGAUGUUUUAAUCUCAAAGCAUCUCAUAUUAUCUCAUAACCGUACAACCUUAUUGCGAUUUGAGAGUGCAGCAUUGCUGAAGUACUUAUAUUUUAUACCUGUAGGUAUGACAAAGCCCUCAGCAGGGAGCAGAAGAACAGGAGUGGUGGCAAGAUGUACGUCCAGGACAAGAUCGAGGAGUACAGCGAUGAGAUUUUCAAACUUCUGGACAAUGGUGUGCACAUCUACUUCUGCGGUUUGAAAGGGAUGAUGCCUGGGAUUCAGGACAGCCUCAAGAAGGUGGCGGAGCAGAGAGGGGAAAGCUGGGAGCAGAAGCUGUCGCAGCUCAAGAAGAACAAGCGAUGGCACGCAGAGGUUUACUAGGUUGCAGGUGUUGUGAUUGUUUUGCUGCGAUCCAAUGCAAAGAAGAGACGGACACAUGAUUGAAACUGAAUGAUGAAUGAUUCCUGCGGUGGUAUAAGGUUUCUUUGGCAAUGGUGAAAACCAUAACCGCCCAUGUAACUCAUUAUAGCUUUGCUUCCGCGUCGCGUGAUGCACACGCUUUGCUACCGUUUCCAUCUCGCAGAGAGGUGUCUGUCCAGGUCGUACGUUUACGAACCCUCCUCUUGGAGCAGCCUUUGCAUUACUGUUCUGUGUGACCCCAUCUUGUCUUCAUCAAAAUGCUUUGCAUUACUGCUCUUAUGAAAAGAAAAAUACAUGGAUCAAGGAAGAAGCCUUUGCAUAGCUGAUGUUCGAUGCUUGCCCUUUUGUGACGAUCUACAGAUCUCCUAAGCGCGUCGUGAAUGAUGGUGUUGAAAUAUGCAAUGCAUACUUGGAAUAUUCUAAAAGAUCGUGGAGAUCUCAACAGACUAAUUUUGCCAUAUAUAAAGAUAAGAUCAUGGUAAGGUAAGAAAGUUCUAGAAAAUUGGAGAGAACGCAUGAGCCAUAGUUGCCAUGCUUCAUGAUGAUGUGUAGAAUACUCUAAAACUAAAUAUUUUAGCAUGGUAGAAAUAUAAGAAACUAGAUAAAGAUGAGAAGGGUUCUACAGUUAGGAUAUUUAGUAUGGAAGAGUGUAUAAAUUGCCACAUGGCAACACCAUAAUGAUCUCAAGUAGCCAUACCAUACCAUGGCAUAAGAGGUCUCAUGUAGGAGAUUGCAAGGUAGCCAUAUAGUGUAGUGGUGUCAUGGUAGAAUAGCUAUACAAAGAGUGUGCAAGUGAGUCUUGUAUCAAAUUGAGUAGUGAAUAAAUGUUUAAGUUUCCUUGUAGAGAGUUGGUCUCCCGCAUUGGUGUCAGUGCGAAUAUCUUCUCAAAGUAGUGUGGGUAAGAGUCUAAAAUAAAGUAGUAGCAUACUACUUUGGUGCCACUUCUAGAAAGUCGGUGUCAAGUUCGGGACGCCGAUUUCUCAAAAGAUGGCUUAGAAUCCUUGGCUCGCUGGCAAGAGAUGAUGCAAUCUGAAAACUGUCCAAGAAUUUGCGACGCCACCCAACCUACACAAAAUCUCAUUAUCAUCGCAACUCACAAAGCAAAAAUUCAUUGUGUGAGCAGCGUAUAGAUAGACCAUCACAACAACCAGAAAGGAAAUCCACCAUGUCACACCAUUUAUAUUUAGAUCAUAAAAUUUGGAUAUUCAUAUCAUCGUGGUACUUUCAGUUCUUUUAAAGAAGUAAAAACUAGGUAAUCUACCAAAUCUGUCACAGUCAUCCCAUCAUUGCCCAAGUUCUGUUCCAUUUUUGCUGGGUGUGAUCUGCAAUAAGUUGAAGUAUAUAUAAUUUCAGCAUAGAGAACUAAUUGAAAAGAAAUUAACAAAACUAUUAGACAAGUUUAACUAAAGAAUGCGCAUGGUGAAUUACCUGUUCUCAUUCAGUUCUAGCAAUUCGAAGCUCAUUUCUUAGUUUGGCAAGUUUAAGAGCCAUGGAAGCUGAUGAUGUAGUUUGUGCCUUUACGAUUUCCUUGAUCGACUCGGCCUGCGCCAAGUUCGCUUUGACUACUGUGGUAUAGUCCUUGAUAAGAUCUUUGAUUUCUGCAACAUCCUUCCUGGUCUGUCUCAGGGCUUCAUCAAGGGAUUCGACGCGCUUGUGGAUAUUAACGAACUUAAUAGCAGUCGGUUUCUGUAAAAGUUCAAUUCAAGAAUUAGUUAUCAUCCGUAAGCAAUUAAGUAGGAGAUAAACCCAAACUAAGCUAGGAUGCUACAGAAAAGUCCGAUCUAGUGCUUAAACAUGAACGCCAUGCUUAUACAGCCUCUUGAACAUAUUAACUAAUAUUGACGAACACAGAAAAUUGAUGAAACAAGAAUCCAAGAAGUGUAGGAGCAAUGUGAUACUUAAGGUAUGACUUUACUACCACCUUAGCCUACAGCACUAACCUAAACAAUUCUCUUUAAUUAGAAGUUUUUAUCUUCAUUGCAGAUUCUGUAUGGAAAUACAAUACUGUACAAUACAGGAACCUGGUAAAACUUGUCUAUAAAAGCAAAUAAUAACAUAAAGUGAACCAUCUUUAGUUGCUUACUAGUUGCUUAAACAUGUAAGCAAAGUUCAUUCAAUCAAGCAAUUUGAUUAUUCCUAAUUUCCCACUACCUUGCCAGAAACUUAGCCUAUUGGUUGCAGUGCACUCAAAUUAAACAGGUUGCUUAUGUAUGUGCCCCUCACAGAAAAAUUAUCCCAAUGCUUUUCACAUCAUGUAGGCAGUAUAGAUAGUUUGCAGAGAUGAUGAGUCAGGUCAGAUAUAGGAUGAAUUCGAUUGUUAUAAACUAUCCAUAUUUUCUACCAUAAGAGGAUCAUCUAGCUUUCAUUACGUUCAUAGCAGAAGUGCAAGAGCACCACAAACCAAUGACCAGGUAUAAAAGGAUAUUAUCUCGAGCACCAAGCUCAGAAACUUUGCCCACAACACUUAGAUUCACAACUAAACGGUUUCUGGAUGAUGAUAGUUACCUCUUUUAAUCUCGCUUCCCUUGCAUCCAUCCAUUGGAUGAAACUGAAGGUGGGUUCCUCAGGAAUCUGGUAUCUCUGCUGUAACCAUAGUUCACCAUAAGUGUCGUGCCUGUCCAGUACAAUGGUAUCUUUCUCAUCCUUACCUGGUUCCACCUGAAAUAAAGAAGAUGCAUUAUCAAUAAACAUCUCACAAAUGUAGGUAGUGCAACCAGCAGACAAGUCACAAUCAGAAGUGUACUAAAUCCACUUUCCUAAUAAUGGAAUUGAACGGGAUAAGCAACUAGGAAUUCACUAUAAGUUAACUAGGUAAUGUUUGCUCAAAGAUCCACUAGCACAUAUGACAUAUAAAGAGGGUACCUUAUUGUCUGUUCUUUUCAUUGUGCGCUCAGUCGCAACCACAGUGAUGUCCUCAGAGUACCCUGCCUGGUGUUUGAUGUCCUGAGCGAAGGUUUGGGUCUUAACAAUAGCGCAGCCCCCAUGAAAGUGGAUGUCAUCCUUGAUAUCCACCCAAAAGUCCUCUGAAUUACUGAGCAGCAGUGUUUGGUGUGACCCAUUCAGUGUGAGGACUAUGGUCCAUCAAGGACUUGAUUUCACCAGUCAUAGUGUACUCGUGACGGAACCUGUUCUGAAGUUGGAUAUCUACAAGGAAACAGAAAACAACAUCAGUACUCCAGAAUAAUGUUGUAAAAAGGCAAGUAAAAUCUGUUGAGUGUUUAGAAUAUUUACAAGCUUACUUUCAAAGCAGUCUGGGACUAAUAGCUUUUCACCGGGCAAGCCCACCUUAAGACCCCUCGCCCCUCCUGGGGCCAUCUGCGCCAUCUACAGAGCCUAAAGCAAGUCCCACUGAAUCAGUAGCCUUAAAGCAAACUAGUGGUAAAAAUAUUUACAUAACCAUAUUGACUGAGUACCAAAACCAUAAAUAAAUAACCGCACUAGAUUAAUCUGAAGCACAUCAUUUCUUUAAAAAACAGCGAAAUCUUGCCACAACAAACAAUCACAGGGAAAAAAAACACUAUACAUGGUCAUAUCAAUUACAAGCAUAAGUACCAUUAUAUCAAUUACACCUUAGUGGUCCAAAUGUUUACAUAAUCAUAUUGACUAGUAACAAAACCAUUGAAUAUUUAGGAUGUUUUAGUAUACAAGCCUAUUAGAGAAUUUCCAUACAGAUUAUAAGAUUAUUUCAAAGAUCACAGGAGAUUAAUAUAUCGUUUCACACGAAAGGAGCUUAAUAUAUUUGAAACAUAUCAAAAUGAUUCCAAAUCUGAUACGAAACCAGUUCCUAUUUGAUCUUGGAUUGCGGAUCUGCAAAAUAUUUUUACCCAACAAAACAAGAAUACCCCGUGGGGGGGGGGGGGGGGGGGGGGGGGAAUUUGGACACUUCUCUAGGACACGAGGCAACAAAAAAAAAGGACGCCCCCUCAAAUUUGGGGGGGCUCCGCCCCCAAGCAUAAACCAGAUGCCGAGUGAACGAUUUAAAUUGGGCCUUCAGCGCCAAAACCACUUUUCCCCCCCAAUUAUAAGACCUCCCACGUGGUUAGAUGUAGGGGAUACUUUUUAAGGGGUAUCCCAGUUUGAGGAGUGAAAAGGGGGGAGUUUAUAAGACAGACACACGGGAAGGAAAUGAUUGCAUAAAAGGAACAUGAAAUCGCGUUUGCUUGAGAGGCAACAUUGAAUUUCACGAGGGUGAUGGNNNNNNNNNNNNNNNNNNNNNNNNNNNNNNNNNNNNNNNNNNNNNNNNNNNNNNNNNNNNNNNNNNNNNNNNNNNNNNNNNNNNNNNNNNNNNNNNNNNNCUUAAGUCCUAUGGAUCUCUAUAUAAAACUUGAAGAGCUGAGCACCGCUGUAAAUGUGUAGCUCCACUUAUUUUUCUUUUUGCCAAAUAUAAUUUGUGGAAAGAAGAACUCAAACCUUUUUUGGGUAAUGUAUGCAGGUUGAUGAUCAUGAAGUCAUUGCGUAUCUGCUCAGUACUGAAAUCAUUCCUCUGUGUCUGCGUACUAUGGACCUGGGCAGUGAGAUUUCGAAAACGGUAUUUACCUAUCUAGCUUAACCAUUACUCAAAACGUAAUAAUCUUCUAGGUUUGCUUCUAUGCGGAAUGUACAAUUGGCAUGCUCACUAUUCUGUCUGAAAUGAAAUAAAUAAAAAUCUCUCACCGUUUGUCUAGUUCACUAUUUGAGAUGUCAAACAAUUUCAUAUCUUUAGUGACUAGGAUCAUGCUGCAACCUAUUUUAUUUUUUUAGCAGAGAAAUUACUUUCAUAAUGUGAUACUUGUGUAGCUUCAUUUUUGUUUGCUUUGAAUGUAAGACUUGAUUUUAUUCUUCAACACGAGACUUUCUACUAUAUAGAUUACCUUGUCGAAGCUCAUGAUAUUGUGCAUUUUCAAGGGGGGGAACAAAUUGUUUCUUGAAAUAUAAUUACCCAUACAGUUAACCUGCCAGGAAUUUAACUAGAUCAUUUUAUCUUUUGCGAUGAGAUAUGGAUUUAUUGCUUCAGUUUCGUUAACUCAAUCAAGUUAUACAUGCAGGUGUCUACUUUUAUUGUUCAAAAGAUUAUACUUGAUGAUGCAGGACUUAAGUACAUAUGUGCUACUCGUGAACGUUUCUUUGCUUUAGCCAAUGUGUUAGCUCAGAUGCUUGAAGGACUUGUUGAACAGCCUUCCCCAAGGUUGCUGAAGCACAUAAUCCGCUGCUACCUAAGGCUGACUGACAAUCCAAGGUUUAUGCUGUGCUGUGUGCAGAUUUCGAUUUUGUAGUACUGCUCUCUAUGCUCUCCCUAAACCUUUCCAUGCUUUUGCAGUGCCUGCCAUGCGCUACGCACUCACCUCCCCACCGUGUUGAGGGACGGGACAUUCAACGACUUUCUUGAGGUGAUCUCUGCACAAGUCAUUGUGCUUGACCAAAUAAGCUUUACGUCAUAACCUAUGCUGCAAAUUCCAACCGUUCACUGACUCUGAAAUCUUGCUGCUAAGUCAGAAAGACCUCACAACCAGGCUAUGGCUCCACCAGAUGCUGCAUAACAUCGCGAUGGCAAACAGUGGAGGCGGCGCCCCUCACACGGGCCUGAAUCGCAUCAUGGGGAUGUGAACGAAGCUGGACGCGGAACGCGGCAACUCAUCAUCAUCUGUCAAGCUAGUAGUAGCCCUAGCGGAAGGUGCCAGUAGUUUCUCCUUUUGGAGAAAAAUAGUGUAUGCCGUUUUAGAGGUUGGGUAGUGUUUAGAGUUGUAAAAAAGCAGGUAACCAUCUAUCAGUUUCAGAUUAGCAUCCCAAAGAUGGAGAAGGGUCAAACCUGUUCUCUUAUGUUGUGAUGAGAACUCUAAUCAUAUAUAUAGGUCGUUGGAAUUGGUCAAUUAUACUGGUGUUCUUUGCGCUGCAGAGACUGCGUCCUAUCCUCCUACUCCCUCCGUCCCAAAUUACUAUUCGUUUUUGCUUGGAUACAUAGUUUUUUAUAUGUACCUAGAUAUAUACUUAUGUCUAGUAUAUAUCCAGAUACAAUGCUAAAGUUAUGUAUUUAGAAAAGUCAAUGCUAAAGUUAUGUAUUUAGAAAAGUCAAAACGAAUAAUAAUUUGGGACGGAGGGAGCACGUCACAGUGUAGGGUUGCACUGUUCAGGAGAAAGCCACAGGUUUUACCGCUACUGGUUUUUUUUAUNNNNNNNNNNNNNNNNNNNNNNNNNNNNNNNNNNNNNNNNNNNNNNNNNNNNNNNNNNNNNNNNNNNNNNNNNNNNNNNNNNNNNNNNNNNNNNNNNNNNNNNNNNNNNNNNNNNNNNNNNNNNNNNNNNNNNNNNNNNNNNNNNNNNNNNNNNNNNNNNNNNNNNNNNNNNNNUGGGAUAGGUUGCAAGUUCAUCGCAUAUGACCAAUCAUGCAUGUCCACGCGCAUCUUAAGUAAUUCCGGGCACUUGCUGCUGAACUCUAUAGCAGUCUUGUCAGUCAUUUAGGCUGAAUUUCUGAUGAUUCUGAACUCACAGCGUCCUCAAGCCGAUAGUAAUGAGCUAAGUUUGGCCUUUUUAUUGUGCUCUAGGGUACCAACAAUCUUAGCUUCGGCAACAAAUCAUGGGUUGGUGGCACAUUGGCGUGGGAGAGCAAGGCAAUUCGGCCCAGGCACGCGAACAAGGUGCUCUGCAUGUCGGUCCAGCAGGCGAGCAAGAGCAAGGUUUCCGUUGCGCCGCUCGAUUUGGAGAGUGCCAAGGAGCCACCUCUCAACACAUACAAGCCGAAGGAGCCCUUCACGGCCACCAUUGUCUCGGUGGAGAGGCUUGUAGGUCCCAAGGCUCCAGGGGAGACUUGCCACAUCGUCAUUGACCAUGGUGGCAAUGUGCCUUACUGGGAGGGCCAGAGUUACGGUGUGAUUCCUCCUGUAAGUUUUCCCUGCUCCCAAUCUUUUCCUGUCUGAGGAUGCAUGUAUUAGUUUUCAUCAUACUUGGUUUCCCCUUGUAUUAUCAGAUAAUGAAAAAUCAAGUUACCUGUGGAUGGUGCAAAAUAUGCUAUACUCUAUACAUAAAGGCAGGCAUACUGAUGUUCAUUUUGAAUCUGUAGAGAUUGUUUCAGUAUGCCAUUCAAUAUACUGCAGGACUAGGCUAGAAAAAAAUAUACCCAUGAAUGAAUACAUAGCAUCUUGUGCAGCAAAAUUGCUUUCGAUUGAUCAUAUAGUACCAAUUGUUUAUUCAUCUCUUUUAUUAUCCAUCAUGUUCUCUCUUCACAUUCACAACUCUCUGAACCCUGAGUGCAUUUUUAUGUGUCAGGGAGAAAACCCGAAAAAGCCUGGAGCCCCGCAUAAUGUCCGGAGAUAACUUUGAUGGACGGACAGGAAGCUUGUGCGUCCGCCGUGCAGUUUAUUAUGAUCCUGAAACUGGCAAGGAGGACCCCUCAAAGAAUGGAGUCUGCAGUAACUUCCUAUGCAAUGCAAAACCUGGGGACAAGAUUCAGCUGACAGGUAACUUGAUUCAGUUGACAGGUAACUUCCUGAUGUAUGUAAAGGCACUCCUGUGUGUUUACUUGCCUUACUUCUAUGAGAGCCUCCUAACCACAAUGGUAGUUCUUUAGUUCUUUUGGUUAAUGUACUCCGUGAAAUUCACCUGGUAGAUCAUCCAUUUCUCAAUUAUUAUAUUCUUUAUAAGGGUAUUAAAUAUACAUUUAGCUAGAGAUGAAAAUUAAGACAUAGCAGGAACAACUCUGCUUCCAAUGCAUUAAGAAACAGUUGGUCGUUUUCAGUGUCACAGGCUUGCACUUUGCAACAUUCUGAUAUAACCAUGUGCAAAAAUGCCAUUGAAACACUAGUCCCAAGAAAACUUUGACAUGUAAAAGCAACCAAGGAGCUAAGAUCCUCUGUAAAUAUGACUAUGACGCUGCACUUUAUAUUUCUGUCUUGUUUUGUCCCAUCUUUAGUUAGACUCGCAUGGUAUCUUUUAAAGACUUCCGAUUACCCAUAUAGUAUGCGACAAGUAGAGCAUAUUUGUCCCUUUCAGAAAAAAAUGUUUUCUUUCCUAAGUAGCUCUCAGAUAUGCCACUACUUGUAAAUCUUGCUAGUAUAAAUUUAUAAUUGUUCUUUCAUAUUAGUUUAAUGAAGACAGUGGAUGUUUUAGCCUCAAAGCGUCUCAUACGAUUUCAUCAUGAGUUCAGGUCCCUCUGGCAAAAUAAUGCUUCUACCUGAGGAGGAUCCAAACGCAACCCACAUCAUGAUUGCUACUGGUACCGGUGUGGCACCAUUCCGUGGGUACCUGCGCCGCAUGUUCAUGGAAGAUGUCCCAAACUACAGAUUUGGUGGCCUGGCUUGGCUUUUCCUUGGCGUUGCUAAUUCAGACAGCCUUCUCUAUGACGAAGAGUUCACAAGCUAUCUUAAGCAGUAUCCAGACAAUUUCAGGUUAGAAUAACCUCAUCCAUCUUGCAAUCUCAUUUCAUGUACUCAUGCUACCCUUGUCCACAACUGUGCUUCGUUGUUGACUUUAGGUGCUUUUCAGUUUGCAUAACCGUACAACCUUAUUGCGAUUUGAGAGUGCAGCAUUGCUGAAGUACUUAUAUUUUAUACCUGUAGGUAUGACAAAGCCCUCAGCAGGGAGCAGACGAACAGGAGCGGUGGCAAGAUGUACGUCCAGGACAAGAUUGAGGAGUACAGCGAUGAGAUUUUCAAGCUUCUGGACAAUGGUGCGCACAUCUACUUCUGCGGUUUGAAGGGGAUGAUGCCUGGGAUUCAGGACACCCUCAAGAAGGUGGCGGAGCAGAGAGGGGAGAGCUGGGAGCAGAAGCUGUCGCAGCUGAAAAAGAACAAGCAAUGGCACGUCGAGGUUUACUAGGGUCUGAUAUUUGCAGGUGUUAUGAUUGUUUUGCUGCGAGCCAAUGCCAAGAAGAG
rnacentral:lncRNA from 1 species